rnacentral:rRNA from 1 species
AGUCGAGAAUCUUCCGCAAUGCGCGCAAGCGUGACGGAGCAAUGCCGCGUGAUCGAAGAAGGCCUUCGGGUUGUAAAGAUCUGUCAGGGGGGAAAAACAAUGAUGGUACCCCCAGAGGAAGCCACGGCUAACUACGUGCCAGCAGCCGCGGUAAUACGUAGGUGGCGAGCAUUAUUCGGAAUUACUGGGCGUAAAGGGUCCGCAGGGGGUUUACUUAGUCAGAUGUGAAAUUUCAGGGCUCAACUCUGAACGUGCAUUUGAAACUGGUAGACUAGAGUAUGUGAGAGGUGAGCGGAAUUUGUGGUGUAGCGGUGGAAUGCGUAGAUAUCACAAGGAAGGCCAAAGGCGAAAGCAGCUCACUGGCACAAUACUGACCCUCAGGGACGAAGGCUAAGGUAGCGAAAAGGAUUAGAUACCCUUGUAGUCUUAGCAGUAAACGUUGUACACUCGAUGUUGGUCUGGUUAGUCGGAUCAGUGUCUAAGCUAACGCGAUAAGUGUACCGCCUGGAA